UACAGGGGGUGCAAACGUUGCUCGGAAUCAUUGGGCGUAAAGCGCACGUAGGCGGUUCGUUAUGUCGGAUGUGAAAGCCCUUGGCUUAACCGAGGAAGUGCAUCCGAAACUGGCGAGCUAGAGUACUAAAGAGGAUCGCGGAAUUCCCGGUGUAGAGGUGAAAUUCGUAGAUAUCGGGAGGAACACCGGUGGCGAAGGCGGCGACCUGGUCCGACACUGACGCUGAGGCGCGAAAGCGUGGGGAGCAAACAGG
rnacentral:rRNA from 1 species